GCCUAGCCCUAAAUCUUGAUACUUCCACCACCAAAGUAUCCGCCUGAGAACUACGAGCACAAACGCUUAAAACUCUAAGGACUUGGCGGUGCUCCAAACCCACCUAGAGGAGCCUGUCCUAUAAUCGAUAACCCACGAUAUACCUGACCACUUCUUGCCAACGCAGCCUACAUACCGCCGUCGCCAGCUCACCUCCCCUGAGAGAGCUACAGUGAGCACAAUAGCCCACCACGCUAACAAGACAGGUCAAGGUAUAGCUUAUGAAGUGGAAGAGAUGGGCUACAUUUUCUAAAGUAGAAAACCCCACGAAAGGGGGCAUGAAACUGCUCCCGGAAGGCGGAUUUAGCAGUAAAGGGGGAUAAUAAAGCCCUCUUUAAGCUGGCUCUGGAGCACGU
rnacentral:rRNA from 1 species